rnacentral:tRNA from 1 species
AGACAGGUAAGCUAAAUUAAGCUACUAGGUUCAUACCCUAUUUAUAGAGAUCUAUCCCUCUCCUCUCUA